UACGAAGGGGGCUAGCGUUGUUCGGAAUUACUGGGCGUAAAGCGCACGCAGGCGGCUUGAUUAGUCGGGGGUGAAAUCCCGGGGCUCAACCUCGGAAUUGCCUUCGAUACUGUCAGUCUUGAGUCCGGGAGAGGUGAGUGGAAUUCCUAGUGUAGAGGUGAAAUUCGUAGAUAUUAGGAAGAGCACCAGUGGCGAAGGCGGCUCACUGGCCCGGUACUGACGCUCAUGUGCGAAAGCGUGGGGAGCAAACAGG
rnacentral:rRNA from 1 species